rnacentral:misc_RNA from 1 species
AGCAGCCGCGGUAAUUCCAGCUCCAAUAGCGUAUAUUAAAGUUGUUGCAGUUAAAAAGCUCGUAGUUGAAUUUCGGGAUCAAUUAAUUGGUCGUGCCUCUGGUACGUACUGAUUUUAUUGGUUUCUCCCUUCUGACGAACCAUGAUGUCAUUAAUUUGAUGUCGUGGAGAAUCAGGACUGUUACUUUGAAAAAAUUAGAGUGUUUAAAGCAAGCUAACGCUUGAAUACAUUAGCAUGGAAUAAUGAAAUAGGACGUUUGAUCCUAUUUUGUUGGUUUCUAGGAUCGACGUAAUGAUUAAUAGGGAUAGUUGGGGGCAUUAGUAUUCAAUUGUCAGAGGUGAAAUUCUUGGAUUUAUUGAAGACUAACUACUGCGAAAGCAUUUGCCAAGGAUGUUUUCAUUAAUCAAGAACGAAAGUUAGGGGAUCGAAGACGGUCAGAUACCGUCGUAGUCUUAACCAUAAACUAUGCCGACUAGGGAUCGGAUGAUGUUAAUUUUUUAAUGACUCAUUCGGCGCCUUA